CUACAAGGCCCCUUCCAAUUCUGUUAAUCUGUAUCUGUGGUUGUAGAAGAAAAGGGAAAAUCCAGAUUCUGUGUUCAGGGGAAUUUAAAGAAUCAAAGAAGUAAGAAGACCAUGAUCAAAAGUUGUAAAGAAAUGAAAAUGGCUCAUAAUGGAAAAGUUACCUUCUAGGGGAAAUUGGAGGCACAGAAAUUAAAUAAAUAAAAAUAAAUAUAUCUGGAGAAGAACUAGAUGUACUUCUUUGUUUACCAUGAUGGAUCUCAAUGGAAAGUGAUA